UACGUAGGGGGCAAGCGUUGUCCGGAAUCAUUGGGCGUAAAGCGCGUGUAGGCGGUUCAGUAAGUCUGCUGUGAAAGUCCAGGGCUCAACCCUGGGAUGCCGGUGGAUACUGCUGGACUAGAGUGCGGAAGAGGCGAGUGGAAUUCCCGGUGUAGCGGUGAAAUGCGCAGAUAUCGGGAGGAACACCAAUUGCGAAGGCAGCUCGCUGGGACGUUACUGACGCUGAGACGCGAAAGCGUGGUGAGCAAACAGG
rnacentral:rRNA from 1 species